GACUACCGGGGUAUCUAAGCCUGUUCGCUACCCACGCUUUCGUGCCUCAGCGUCAAUCAAGGCCCAGUUAGCUGCCUUCGCAAUUGGUGUUCCAUGACAUAUCUAUGCAUUUCACCGCUACAUGUCACAUUCCGCUAACCUCAACCCAAUUCAAGAAAAUCAGUAUCAAUGGCAAUUCUAUCGUUAAGCGACAGGCUUUCACCACUGACUUAAUUCCCCGCCUACGCACCCUUUAAACCCAGUGAUUCCGGAUAACGCUCGCACCCUCCGUAUUACCGCGGCUGCUGGCACGGAGUUAGCCGGUGCUUAUUCCUCAGGUACCGUCAGACCCUCAUAAAUGAAGGCGUUUCUUCCCUGAUAAAAGCAGUUUACAAUCCAUAGGACCUUCAUCCUGCACGCGGGAUGGCUGGUUCAGGCUUGCGCCCAUUGACCAAUAUUCCUUACUGCAGCCCCCCGUAGG
rnacentral:rRNA from 1 species